UACGUAGGGUGCGAGCGUUAAUCGGAAUUACUGGGCGUAAAGCGUGCGCAGGCGGUUCGUCGUGUCCGAUGUGAAAGCCCCGGGCUCAACCUGGGAAUGGCAUUGGAAACUGGCGGACUCGAGUGUGGCAGAGGGGGGUGGAAUUCCGCGUGUAGCAGUGAAAUGCGUAGAGAUGCGGAGGAACACCGAUGGCGAAGGCAGCACUCUGGGACGUGACUGACGCUGAGGCGCGGAAAGCUAGGGGAGCGAACGGG
rnacentral:rRNA from 1 species